rnacentral:rRNA from 1 species
GACGAACGCUGGCGGCGUGCCUAAUACAUGCAAGUCGAACGCUUCUUUCUUAUCGAACUUCGGCUCACCAAGAAAGAAGAGUGGCGGACGGGUGAGUAACACGUGGGUAACCUGCCCUUUAGCGGGGGAUAACACUUGGAAACAGGUGCUAAUACCGCAUAAUCUUUUUCUCGCAUGAGAGAAAAGUGAAGACGCUUUUGUCGUCACUAGAGGGUGGACCCGCGCUGCAUUAGCUAGUUGGUGAGGUAAUGGCUCACCAAGGCCACGAUGCAUAGCCGACCUGAGAGGGUGAUCGGCCACACUGGGACUGAGACACGGCCCAG